GACGGAGGGUGCAAGCGUUGUUCGGAUUGACUGGGCGUAAAGGGCGUGUAGGCGGUCGGCCAAGUCUGAUGUGAAAGCCCGAGGCUCAGCCUCGGAAGUGCGUCGGAAACUAGUCGGCUGGAGCGCGAUAGAGGAGGGUGGAAUUCCUGGUGUAGCGGUGAAAUGCGUAGAUAUCAGGAGGAACACCGGCGGCGAAGGCGGUUCUCUGGGCAUUACCUGACGCUGAGGAGCGAAAGUGUGGGGAGCGAACAGG
rnacentral:rRNA from 1 species